GAUGAAGAACGUAGUGAAAUGCGAUAAGUAAUGUGAAUUGCAGAAUUCAGUGAAUCAUCGAAUCUUUGAACGCACAUUGCGCCCCUUGGUAUUCCGAGGGGCAUGCCUGUUCGAGCGUCAUUAUAACCCCUCAAGCUCAGCUUGGUGUUGGGGCCUGCUGCACUGGCAGCCCUUAAAAUCAGUGGCGGCGCCAUCUGGCUCUAAGCGUAGUAAUUCUUCUCGCUAUGGAGUCCUGGUGGAUGCUUGCCAUCAACCCCCAAUUUUUCUAUGGUUGACCUCGGAUCAGGUAGGGAUACCCGCUGAAUUUAAGCAUAUCAAUAAGCGGAGGA
rnacentral:misc_RNA from 1 species